ACCGCAGGGAGAAGAUGGCGGCAGGAAACUGAGGCACCUGGUCAUCCAUCCUGAUCAGUGUUUGCGCAUGCCCAGGGCUAAACGUCUAGUUCUUGGCUCUAGAUCGUAUCAGGUUGACAGUGAACACAAGCCAUCUCUUCACCCCGGCAGGACAACUGUGCAGCACAAAACAGGGAUGACUCGGUGCAUUCUCAUGAAGGGGAUACCAGGCAAAGGCGAAUGACCAAGAAGCGCUGCACAGAGUACUGAGAUGAAAGGCAUGCGCCACCACACCCGGCCAAGAACAUCGUUUAAGCAGAAGUAGGAAAAUGAGAUACAUUCUACAGCACCGGUCUAAGAAUGCCUGGAGCAGGACUGGGAAGCUGGACAUGGGAAACUCAUCCACAGACAGGGCGUCCCAGCUGACUGCCUCAACUCAAGGCAGUUCCUGCUGGAUAUUUGAAAGCCCUCAAUUUGACACCCCAGCGUUGCAAAACUCAAAAUUUCCAAGGAGACUGAAUAAAAGACUGAGUGGCGUUCACUUUUGUGGACUUUGUUCCUUGUUCAUUCCUUCCAAUGUCUUUCUGUACCUUGAUACUGUUUGAAAAAAAAAAGAAGUCUAUCAAACCUGCCAAUUCCCCUGUCCGCUAUCACCCCCAUCCCUACUGGCUCCCUUCAAGUCCCCAACCCUGACUCAGGCAGUUGCUACCUGGCGUCUUUGGCUUCCUCUUUCCCUAUCUCUUCUACAGUCUUCUCCCAUUUACAGGACUUCUACCCAUGCGGCUAAAGCCUCCAGUCUCUG